ACUUGCCUACAACAUAGUGUUAAUGCAUCGGAUCCCAUUAGAACUCCGCAGUUAAGUGCGCUCGGGCUAGAGUAGUAUUGGGAUGGGUAACCGCCCAGGAAGUCCUAGUAUUUUGCAUGCC
rfam:Picea glauca, whole genome shotgun sequence.